rnacentral:rRNA from 1 species
AUUUUCUUAAAAUUUAAAGAAUUUGGCGGUAAUUUAGUCUAGUUAGAGGAACCUGUUUUUUAAUCGAUACACCACGUAGGAUCUUAUUUACUUUAAGAGUUUGUAUACCAUCAUUAGCAGAUAAUUUUAUAGGAGAAAAAAUUAUUAUUUAGAAUUUAUUAUAGAAAUUAGAUCAGGGUGCAGCUUAUAAGUAAGUUAAAAUGGGUUACAAUAAGUUUUAGUUAUACGGAGUUUAGUUAGUAAGAGGCUAAUGAAGGAGGAUUUAAUUGUAAUAUGAGUUUAAUAAGCUUAGGUGAUAAAAGUUCUAAAUUAUGUACACAUCGCC